GCCCCCAUCCUGAUGUUUAAAAGAAAAAAUUGACCACCCACAAGAAUGCCUCUUCUUUCAGACAGGGUCCUCUGACACACCUGCCUUCAAGAAAAACCUGGAAAUUUCUAGAAAAGGCCUACAACUUGAAACUUUUCCGUUUCUCUUUCCCUCUGUUUUCAUCCUCCCCUACUCUGCUCUAUGGCCUAGGUGCUCUUUGGUUUCCCCCCCAUCCUCCGUAGUGCCUAGGCAGGUCUACCUCCCGCAACUGUCCUGUUAGAACUGACUUUUAUGUUUCACAAAAACAAACCAGAAGUUAUUUUAAGUUUUCUCUAUCAACCAGUGGGGGCAGGUGGGGCCGC